GUUCACCAACCUUUGUUCAGUCUGAUUAACACAAACUGUAAGUUUAGAGCUGAAAUGUUCCUCUGAUUUGUUUAGCAGGGAACCAGAGACCACCUGAUGACCACACUGUUUCUUACUCAGUAAGAAGCAGAACAGCGAGGCGUUCAGGUGCAGCAGCCAGUCAGGAGAUGAAUGAUGAAGAUGAUGGUGCGGUGAACUAUGAAAACUGAUCAACCACUUCCACACCAACAUCAGCUCACCAGAGAAACGACUCCCUGACUGUUAUAUCAUUAAUAUCCUCUCAGUUUUAACAUGAGUAGUUGAAUUAUUUACAUAAAGAAAGAAUCAUAACAUCACUUUGAGAUUUUGACUGUUUUUAUGAUGAUUUUCAGGAUUUAUGGUUGUAAUAGCUUUAUUUGUCCAGCAGGGGGU